CCCUCACCAAACCUGCUCUUCAACUUCAGUGAAAUCUGCAGUUUACAGUCUCAGUUCCAGGCCUACAGAGAAGAAGAAUUUUUCUGAAGUCAGAUAUCACCAGAAGACUCUUUCCAAGAACACACAGAUAUUAUGGAGUUCUGGUUAUCUGGUUGCAUAAUAAACCAUUGCUGUGGCUUAAACAAUU